rnacentral:rRNA from 1 species
CAGUAGCCGCGGGAAUACGUAGGUGGCAAGCGUUGUCCGGAAUUAUUGGGCGUAAAGGGCUCGCAGGCGGUUUCUUAAGUCUGAUGUGAAAGCCCCCGGCUCAACCGGGGAGGGACAUUGGAAACUGGGAAACUUGAGUGCAGAAGAGGAGAGUGGAAUUCCACGUGCAGCGGUGAAAUGCGUAGAGAUGUGGAGGAACACCAGUGGCGAAGGCGACUCUCUGGUCUGUAACUGACGCUGAGGAGCGAAAGCGUGGGGAGCGAACAGGAUUAGAUACCCCCGUAGUCCCUGUCUCUUAUAC